rnacentral:rRNA from 1 species
CGAAAGCCUGACGGAGCAAGACCGCGUGAGGGAGGAAGGCCUACUGGUUGUAAACCUCUUUUGAUAGGGAAGAACACAAUGACGGUACCUAUCGAAUCAGCCUCGGCUAACUCCGUGCCAGCAGCCGCGGUAAUACGGAGGAGGCAAGCGUUAUCCGGAAUUAUUGGGCGUAAAGCGUCCGUAGGUGGUUAUCCAAGUCAGUUGUUAAAGCGUAGAGCUUAACUCUAUAAGGGCAAUUGAAACUGGGUGGCUAGAGUGCGAUAGGGGCAAGGGGAAUUCCCAGUGUAGCGGUGAAAUGCGUAGAUAUUGGGAAGAACAUCGGUGGCGAAAGCGCCUUGCUGGGUCUGCACUGACACUGAGGGACGAAAGC